rnacentral:rRNA from 1 species
GCACAAUGGGCGCAAGCCUGAUGCAGCGACGCCGCGUGAGGGAUGACGGCCUUCGGGUUGUAAACCUCUUUCAGUAGGGAAGAAGCGAGAGUGACGGUACCUGCAGAAGAAGCGCCGGCUAACUACGUGCCAGCAGCCGCGGUAAUACGUAGGGCGCAAGCGUUAUCCGGAAUUAUUGGGCGUAAAGAGCUCGUAGGCGGUUUGUCGCGUCUGCCGUGAAAGUCCGGGGCUCAACUCCGGAUCUGCGGUGGGUACGGGCAGACUAGAGUGAUGUAGGGGAGACUGGAAUUCCUGGUGUAGCGGUGAAAUGCGCAGAUAUCAGGAGGAACACCGAUGGCGAAGGCAGGUCUCUGGGCAUUAACUGACGCUGAGGAGCGAAAGCAUGGGGAGCGAACAGGAUUAGAUACCCUGGUAGUCCAUGCCGUAAACGUUGGGCACUAGGUGUGGGGGACAUUCCACGUUUUCCGCGCCGUAGCUAACGCAUUAAGUGCCCCGCCUGGGGAGUACGGCCGCAAGGCUAAAACUCAAAGGAAUUGACGGGGGCCCGCACAAGCGGCGGAGCAUGCGGAUUAAUUCGAUGCAACGCGAAGAACCUUACCAAGGCUUGACAUGAACCGGACCGCCGCAGAAAUGUGGUUUCCCCUUUGGGGCUGGUUUACAGGUGGUGCAUGGUUGUCGUCAGCUCGUGUCGUGAGAUGUUGGGUUAAGUCCCGCAACGAGCGCAACCCUCGUUCUAUGUUGCCAGCACGUGAUGGUGGGGACUCAUAGGAGACUGCCGGGGUCAACUCGGAGGAAGGUGGGGACGACGUCAAAUCAUCAUGCCCCUUAUGUCUUGGGCUUCACGCAUGCUACAAUGGCCGGUACAAAGGGUUGCGAUACUGUGAGGUGGAGCUAAUCCCAAAAAGCCGGUCUCAGUUCGGAUUGGGGUCUGCAACUCGACCCCAUGAAGUCGGAGUCGCUAGUAAUCGCAGAUCAGCAACGCUGCGGUGAAUACGUUCCCGGGCCUUGUACACACCGCCCGUCAAGUCACGAAAGUUGGUAACACCCGAAGC